rnacentral:misc_RNA from 1 species
AAGGUGCACCCCUUAAGCCCCUGUGUGAUAAAAGGGCCGGCUCACUGUGACCGGUGGGCGGCUGGAGUUGGGGCUGAGUUUGUGGGUGAAUGUGGAGCGCUGGUUAGUCGGCCGGGCACACGAGCCUGGGCUGGUGAUGACCAUUUUCUGUGGCGGUCGUUAUGCGGCCGCCGCUGGUGGGGAAGCCGGUUUCGGGGUUUGUGGUCUGGUCGGGCACACUGUCGGGUUUUGAGGGAACGGGCACGGCGUCGCAUUUCCCGAAUCUGCCCAUCCGCCUCCGCCGCCGCUUCAUCGCCGGCGCGGUACGGGAUCGCUCCUUCCGGAUUCGGCUGGGAGACCGUUCUCACGAAACGUGACCUUAACUUCAGUCUUUGACCUAGACGUGUUCACAUCCUGGCCGGUAGUGCUCUGCUUCGGAACC